GACAGAGGAUGCAAGCGUUAUCCGGAAUGAUUGGGCGUAAAGCGUCUGUAGGUGGCUUCUUAAGUCCGCUGUCAAAUCCCAGGGCUUAACCCUGGCCAGGCGGUGGAGACUACUAAGCUUGAGUACGGUAGGGGCAGAGGGAAUUUCCGGUGGAGCGGUGAAAUGCGUAGAGAUCGGAAAGAACACCAAGGGCGAAGGCACUCUGCUGGGCCGACACUGACACUGAGAGACGAGAGCUAGGGGAGCGAAUGGG
rnacentral:rRNA from 1 species